UACAGAGGGGGCAAGCGUUGUUCGGAUUUACUGGCGUAAAGGGCGCGUAGGCGGUCGUGACAAGUCACUUGUGAAAUCUCCGGGCUUAACUCGGAACGGUCAAGUGAUACUGUCGGACUAGAGUACAGAAGGGGCAACUGGAAUUCUCGGUGUAGCGGUGAAAUGCGUAGAUAUCGAGAGGAACACCUGCGGCGAAGGCGGGUUGCUGGGCUGAUACUGACGCUGAGGCGCGAAAGCCAGGGGAGCGAACGGG
rnacentral:rRNA from 1 species